UACGUAGGGUGCAAGCGUUGUCCGGAAUUAUUGGGCGUAAAGAGCUCGUAGGCGGUCUGUCGCGUCGGCUGUGAAAACUCGGGGCUCAACUCCGAGCUUGCAGUCGAUACGGGCAGGCUAGAGUUCGGUAGGGGAGACUGGAAUUCCUGGUGUAGCGGUGAAAUGCGUAGAGAUCGGGAGGAACACCAGUGGCGAAGGCGGCCUUCUGGACCAAUACUGACGCUCAUGCACGAAAGCGUGGGGAGCAAACAGG
rnacentral:rRNA from 1 species